GCAGCUAAAACUAGGGAGAAAGUCAAAGCUGUAUACGGCACUUGUAAUGUGAGUAUUUUCUCUUCCACAGGACCACAACAGAUGUUGGUGCUGGGGUAGAGUUAUCAGUCUUUGGGGAAGAGGUUCAAGCUCCUCACACACAGAUGAAGUGCUGCUAGGCAUUCAGAGAUGCUAUUUGUCCAGUCCAGGAGUUCACAAUGUAAAAGAGGAAAGGAACUGCAAUGGUCGCAACCAGUGUGGGAGAAACUAAAGGCUUGGUCGUGCACCAUUCGCAGCAAUGGGAAAAUUCCCCCAUUGAUUGCAUGGGAGCAGGCUCAAACCCUGAGAGAGGAACUAUGGUAUGGAGCAUUGACUUCAGCAGAAACUACAUUUCAAAAUGUAAAUCUCUUAAUUUUCCUCAAUAAAGAAAUUAGCAGAGUUGGACUAUUUUACCCUUUGGGUAAGUCACAGGUAGACCCAAUUAUAUUUCUCUUGUCCAUUGAUGUUGAUGGCAUUCAACUGUCCCUGACUUGAUUUUUUUAUCCUUCCCCAAUCAGGUGUUGCCCAGGACCUCUAAUUCAGAAUUUGGAGUGUGAAGCAAAAAAAUA
rnacentral:lncRNA from 1 species